AAUGGAAUUGCUGGGUCAUAUGCAAUUCUGUGGUUGAUUUUUUUUUUUUUUUUUUUUUUUUGGAGGAACCAUCAAACUGUUUUCCAAAACAGUUAUACCAUUUUACAUUUCCAGCAGCAGU
rnacentral:pre_miRNA from 1 species